rnacentral:rRNA from 2 species
AAUCCAUAGGUUAAUGAGGCGAACCGGGGGAACUGAAACAUCUAAGUACCCCGAGGAAAAGAAAUCAACCGAGAUUCCCCCAGUAGCGGCGAGCGAACGGGGAGGAGCCCAGAGCCUGAAUCAGCAUGUGUGUUAGUGGAAGCGUCUGGAAAGGCGCGCGAUACAGGGUGACAGCCCCGUACACAAAAGCGCAUGUGCUGUGAGCUCGAUGAGUAGGGCGGGACACGUGGUAUCCUGUCUGAAUAUGGGGGGACCAUCCUCCAAGGCUAAAUACUCCUGACUGACCGAUAGUGAACCAGUACCGUGAGGGAAAGGCGAAAAGAACCCCGGCGAGGGGAGUGAAAAAGAACCUGAAACCGUGUACGUACAAGCAGUGGGAGCACCCUUUGGGUGUGACUGCGUACCUUUUGUAUAAUGGGUCAGCGACUUAUAUUCUGUAGCAAGGUUAACCGAAUAGGGGAGCCGGAGGGAAACCGAGUCUUAACCGGGCGUUAAGUUGCAGGGUAUAGACCCGAAACCCGGUGAUCUAGCCAUGGGCAGGUUGAAGGUUGGGUAACACUAACUGGAGGACCGAACCGACUAAUGUUGAAAAAUUAGCGGAUGACCUGUGGCUGGGGGUGAAAGGCCAAUCAAACCGGGAGAUAGCUGGUUCUCCCCGAAAGCUAUUUAGGUAGCGCCUCGUGAAUUCAUCUCCGGGGGUAGAGCACUGUUUCGGCUAGGGGGCCAUCCCGGCUUACCAACCCGAUGCAAACUGCGAAUACCGGAGAAUGUUAUCACGGGAGACACACGGCGGGUGCUAACGUCCGUCGUGAAGAGGGAAACAACCCAGACCGCCAGCUAAGGUCCCAAAGUCAUGGUUAAGUGGGAAACGAUGUGGGAAGGCCCAGACAGCCAGGAUGUUGGCUUAGAAGCAGCCAUCAUUUAAAGAAAGCGUAAUAGCUCACUGGUCGAGUCGGCCUGCGCGGAAGAUGUAACGGGGCUAAACCAUGCACCGAAGCUGCGGCAGCGACACUGUGUGUUGUUGGGUAGGGGAGCGUUCUGUAAGCCUGUGAAGGUGUGUCGUGA